UGAGAGUGAGCAGCAUUUUACAAAGAAGGGCACUGGAUACAGAAAGACAAGAUUUCUAUGAAUAGACCAAAAACAGACCCCUACAGGAUGUCUGGGUGCAGGCACCUUGGGCUGCUGUAACAGGAUAUCAUAGACUGGAUGACUGAAAAGACAAGCAUUAUUUCUCACAGUUCUAGAGGCUGAGAAUUCC